GAUGAACGCUAGCGGCAGGCCUAACACAUGCAAGUCGAGGGAUAAGCCUUCGGGCUAAGACCGGCGCACGGGUGCGUAACGCGUAUACAAUCUGCCUUUUAUCCGGGGGAUAGCCCGAAGAAAUUUAGAUUAAUACACUAUGGUAUAAGAGCACGGCAUCGUCCACUUAUUAAAGCUACGUCGGUAAAAGAUGAGUAUGCGUUCUAUUAGCUAGUUGGAGAGGUAACGGCUCCCCAAGGAGACGAUAGAUAGGGGUUCUGAGAGGGAUGUCGCCCACACUGGUACAGGGAUACGGACCAGACUACUACGAGAGGCAGCAGUGUGGAAUAGUAGGCAACGGUCGGGAGUCUGAUCCAGCCAGGCCGCGUGUAGGAUGACGGCGUUAUGUGUUGUAAACUGCUUUUGUAAGGGAAGAGUAAGGAGUACGGGUACGUUGAUGACGGUACCUUACGAAUAAGCAUCGGCUAACUCCGUG
rnacentral:rRNA from 1 species